UUGAAAUGGGGGCACCCUGAUCCAGCAAUGCCGCGUGUGUGAAGAAGGCCUGCGGGUUGUAAAGCACUUUCAGUAGGGACGAAAAUCCGGAGGCUAAUAUCCUCCGGGCUUGACUUAACCUACAGAAGAAGCACCGGCUAACUCUGUGCCAGCAGCCGCGGUAAUACAGAGGGUGCGAGCGUUAAUCGGAAUUACUGGGCGUAAAGGGUGCGUAGGUGGUUCGAUAAGUCAGAUGUGAACUCCCCGGGCUUAACCUGGGAAUUGCAUUUGAUACUGUCAGACUCGAGUGUGAUAGAGGUAAGCGGAAUUCCCGGUGUAGCGGUGAAAUGCGUAGAUAUCGGGAGGAACAUCAGUGGCGAAGGCGGCUUACUGGAUCAACACUGACACUGAGGCACGAAAGCGUGGGUAGCAAACAGGAUUAGAUACCCUGGUAGUCCACGCCCUAAACGAUGUCGACUAGCCGUUGGGCUCAUAAAAGAGCUUAGUGGCGCAGCUAACGCGAUAAGUCGACCGCCUGGGGAGUACGGCCGCAAGGCUAAAACUCAAAAAAAUUGACGGA
rnacentral:rRNA from 1 species